AGUGGCUUUCCAUUUUAACUGAAUUAAAAUUCUGUCGGCUAUCCUGAUAUACUAAUUACUACAUGAAUUAACUUUUAUCUAUCUGACUAAACUCCUCUACAGCUACUCUCGCAUUUGUCUGGUAAUUCCAAGGAACAGAUCUGCUUUCUGUUUCUUGAAUCUACGAAGCUUGUUUUAGCUUCAGGGCCUUUGCUCUAGCUGGCCCCUCUGCCUGGAAGGUGCUCCCAGCCCACUGAGCUCCUUGUCUGGUAAUUCCAAGGAACAGAUCUGCUUUCUGUUUCUUGAAUCUACCAAGCUUGUUUUAGUUUCAGGGCCUUUGCUCUAGCUGGCCCCUCUGCCUGGAAGGUGCUCCCAGCCCACUGAGCCCCUGAACUUUCAUCUCCUCUGCUGGGGAGGUCUCCCUGAAACCCAAACUAAAGAAAACUAUUCAAAUCAGAAUGUGCCA
rnacentral:lncRNA from 10 species